rnacentral:misc_RNA from 1 species
UAGGAAGAGGCCCAGAAUCUAUAUAUACGCGAGAAUAGUAGUGCAUCUUCAGCCGCAAUUACCACUUGUGAGGAGCAAAUUGUGAAUUGCGAAGGUAAUAGUGCAUUUUGUCUUUAUUUAUCCUUUGUAAGUAAUUUUUAUCAUUAAACAUACAUAUGUAUGUACAUACUUAUUACGUAGAAACGACAAGAAAGCGGAUGAUUGCCACUGUAGUUUCGAUGUUAAUGGAGUCGUCCUCAUCGGAAAGCGAAGAUGAGGAAGAACGUAUGAUCGUAGAAGAACUAAGAUCAGAUGAUAUUGGAUUGUUUCUACAAGAAAAAAAUCCACGAAAUUGUGUGUUGAAUUAUAUAGAGUUGACAGUGCCGAGUUACACGGAAAAAUAGUUUCGAAUGCAUUUCCGCAUUUCCAGAAACUUAUUUGAAAGCCUUAGCCAAAGAUUUUCUGUUUCGGACUUUUACAACAAUUUAAGGGCUGACAAAAGGCUUUCAGAAAAAACUCAUUUGCUCGUGUUUUUAUGGUUUGCUGGACAUGAAGCCUGCAGCUAUAGAGACUUAGGGGAUCGUUUUAAUCUAUGCCUGUCAUCAGUAUGUAAAAUAAUUGCCAGAGUUACUAUGUUCAUUAGCUCAUUGAGUUCAGAUGUUAUAAAAUGGCCUACUCAACAGCAAAAACUAGAAUCAAGCGAAUUUUUCAACCGUAAAUGCUACUUUUCUAAGGCAAUAGGUUGCACUGAUGGAACCACAUCCAAAUUGACCCACCAAAGAGAUCAAAAGACGAUUACAUAAAUAGGAAGGGAAUUACGUCUAUCUGUCUGCAAGCGAUAUGUAAUGAAAAGAAGAAGUUUAUAAACAUUUUCGUGGGAUAUCCUGGUUCUAGUCACGACAGUUGGGUUUUACAAAACUCCACUAUUUAUGAUAAGUUGCCGUCGUAUUGUGGAGAUUAAUACCUUUUGGGUGAUUCUGCAUAUCCCUGCAAGAAAUAUUUAGUAACGCCCUACAGAGAUAAUGGGCAUUUAACAAAUGCCCAAAAAUACUUUAAUUUAAAUCUGAGCUCUGGACGUAUCGCUAUAGAACACUCGCUUGGCAUGUUGAAACAAAGAUUCCGUCAGUUAUAUUACUGUAAGCUCAGAGGAAUGGAAAAACCUUGCCACUUCAUUCGAGCCUGUUGCGUUUUGCACAAUAUAGCUAACGAAGAUGAUUUGGAUUUUAUUUGCGACACAUCUCCAGAUGUUACUGAUGACUUCACCGCUCAUGGCGACAUUUCAAGGGGGAAUCAUGUGCGAGAUCCUAUAUGCCAAGAGAUAGAACUUCGUCGUAAUACAUAGAACCGCAGUUGUUUGUUUGUGUGAUUAAUUUUAUGGCAUUUUGUUAAAACCACACAUUUCAUUGAAAACAUACUACUAAGUUUAAGCAAUUCAUGUAUUUCAAAAAUAUACCGCAGCAUGCAAGGCUCUGUUUGAU